AGUCCAGUAGCACCUUAGAGACCAACUAAGUUUGCUUUAGGUAUAAGAAGAAGUGUGCAUGCACACAACAGCUUAUAACUAGAACAAACUUAGUUGGUCUCUAAGGUACUACUGGACU